rnacentral:rRNA from 1 species
ACGAACGCUGGCGGCGUGCCUAAUACAUGCAAGUCGAACGCUUCUUUUUCCAUCGGAGCUUGCUCCACCGGAAAAAGAGGAGUGGCGAACGGGUGAGUAACACGUGGGUAACCUGCCCAUCAGAAGGGGAUAACACUUGGAAACAGGUGCUAAUACCGUAUAACAAUCGAAACCGCAUGGUUUUGAUUUGAAAGGCGCUUUCGGGUGUCGCUGAUGGAUGGACCCGCGGUGCAUUAGCUAGUUGGUGAGGUAACGGCUCACCAAGGCGACGAUGCAUAGCCGACCUGAGAGGGUGAUCGGCCACAUUGGGACUGAGACACGGCCCAAACUCCUACGGGAGGCAGCAGUAGGGAAUCUUCGGCAAUGGACGAAAGUCUGACCGAGCAACGCCGCGUGAGUGAAGAAGGUUUUCGGAUCGUAAAACUCUGUUGUUAGAGAAGAACAAGGAUGAGAGUAACUGUUCAUCCCUUGACGGUAUCUAACCAGAAAGCCACGGCUAACUACGUGCCAGCAGCCGCGGUAAUACGUAGGUGGCAAGCGUUGUCCGGAUUUAUUGGGCGUAAAGCGAGCGCAGGCGGUUUCUUAAGUCUGAUGUGAAAGCCCCCGGCUCAACCGGGGAGGGUCAUUGGAAACUGGGAGACUUGAGUGCAGAAGAGGAGAGUGGAAUUCCAUGUGUAGCGGUGAAAUGCGUAGAUAUAUGGAGGAACACCAGUGGCGAAGGCGGCCUACUGGGCACCAACUGACGCUGAGGCUCGAAAGCGUGGGGAGCAAACAGGAUUAGAUACCCUGGUAGUCCACGCCGUAAACGAUGAGUGCUAAGUGUUGGAGGGUUUCCGCCCUUCAGUGCUGCAGCUAACGCAUUAAGCACUCCGCCUGGGGAGUACGACCGCAAGGUUGAAACUCAAAGGAAUUGACGGGGGCCCGCACAAGCGGUGGAGCAUGUGGUUUAAUUCGAAGCAACGCGAAGAACCUUACCAGGUCUUGACAUCCUUUGACCACUCUAGAGAUAGAGCUUCCCCUUCGGGGGCAAAGUGACAGGUGGUGCAUGGUUGUCGUCAGCUCGUGUCGUGAGAUGUUGGGUUAAGUCCCGCAACGAGCGCAACCCUUAUUGUUAGUUGCCAUCAUUUAGUUGGGCACUCUAGCAAGACUGCCGGUGACAAACCGGAGGAAGGUGGGGAUGACGUCAAAUCAUCAUGCCCCUUAUGACCUGGGCUACACACGUGCUACAAUGGGAAGUACAACGAGUCGCAAAGUCGCGAGGCUAAGCUAAUCUCUUAAAGCUUCUCUCAGUUCGGAUUGUAGGCUGCAACUCGCCUACAUGAAGCCGGAAUCGCUAGUAAUCGCGGAUCAGCACGCCGCGGUGAAUACGUUCCCGGGCCUUGUACACACCGCCCGUCACACCACGAGAGUUUGUAACACCCGAAGUCGGUGAGGUAACCUUUUGGAGCCAGCCGCCUAAGGUGGGAUAGAUGAUUGGGGUG